AAUAAAUACAACACCAUGGACAAAAUGUUUGCAUGGACAAUCAAUUCUGCUAAUAAUGUUACAUCUUUUCUCUAUACUCUCACAAGAAUCACAUAAACAAGCAGGACGGUUUCAUGAGUGAUGAACUGGAAAGCCGCAGGCUAAAAGUCCAUGAGGAAGAAGCUUGUGUAACAUUUAUGUUCCGCGGUCUGGUUACAAUCACAUUAUCCAUCACAUCAUUUGGCUGCUAGAGGCUAUGUGGUCGAAAUGCUAAAUCCAGUUCAAUUUACUCUGUCAAGCAGCUUCUCCACCAUAAUCUUUUGUUGCACUGAGGUCAAGGACUCAGAGUUCAUUAUUGCAUUCGCAGCAAGGAUGAUUGACGAUUGGUGCUCGGCAUUUACCCACACACGGCCGUUUAAACCAACAGCUAUCUCAAAAGCUAGCUUCUUUCCAAGACCUUCAAGAACUGGACAUGUUGGUGAGCUCAGCAGCAUCCGUGACAAACCAGUUGAUGAUUCAAACAUAUAGCCAUCUUUAAGGGGUCCAAACUCGGCAGCUUUUCCAGAAGCAUCCAUGCACGAUAACUCUGGGUUUAUUCCUGGGUUGGCCUUGACAAUACGAGUAUAAAUUAGAGUACCUACCUCAAAUUUGGGUAUGUUUCUCCUAGUCCCUCCUUCAAAUGCUAGCACUGGCAAGAACGCCACCAUUGGCCCUUUUAUGUCCACAUAAAAGCUAUCUGCUCUUUUGUCCACCACAAUUCCAAGGACAGCAUCCCCCACGGUAGGUAUAUAUCUUUUGUGUGAGCUUUCAAUCCAGUACUUGUUUGGCUUUGAAAAUCUCAAAAUACCUGCUUUGACGACAGUUACAGCAUCAUGAUCCUGUUGGAG
rnacentral:misc_RNA from 1 species